rnacentral:tRNA from 1 species
GAACUAAUAGCUUAAUUGUAAAGACUUUUCCUGUCACGAAAAGGGAUGUCGGUUCGAUGCCGACUUAGUUCG